UCAGAAGCCAUUUUAGAACUCAGGAAGCAAAAUAUGCGAGUUCCACUGUGCUUCUGCAGGUGCUGUGGUGGCAAGGAUAACCUUUGCUCGCUUGCCGGGGGGUGUAACCACGCUGUUAUUUAAUGUCUUUGAGGAUUAAAGACACCACAGAAAAUUCCAAACCCACAUCCUAACACCUGAAGCUCGCACAAUGUUUCUAGAGCAAAUGACAAAACAUUUCACUGGAACCUUAAUUUAGCAAGUCUGUGUCCAGAUCUGGG
rnacentral:lncRNA from 1 species